UACGUAGGGUGCAAGCGUUGUCCGGAAUUAUUGGGCGUAAAGAGCUCGUAGGCGGUUUGUUGCGUCGGCUGUGAAAUCCCGAGGCUCAACCUCGGGUCUGCAGUCGAUACGAGCAAACUAGAGUGUUGCAGGGAGACUGGAAUUCCUGGUGUAGCGGUGAAAUGCGCAGAUAUCAGGAGGAACACCGGUGGCGAAGGCGGGUCUCUGGGCAACAACUGACGCUGGAGGAGCGAAAGCGUGGGGAGCGAACAGG
rnacentral:rRNA from 1 species